CUUUACUGCUGAUGCUUGACUUCCGGCUGCCGUUCCGUCUGACAUCAACAGCAUAGUCACGUUACUCCAGGACUGUUAAGGAGAGUCACUACGAGCUAUGUGUGGAAGCUAGGCUAACUAGCUGAGCAAACUUAGCGCCCUUGGAAGCGGAAGGAGACCAGAGACGCCCUACGGUUCCCGCUGCUGCAGUCCUCUUAAUGACUCGCGAGGCGGGAGGAAAGCUCCGCCUGCGAGUUCGGUCGAGCUGUUGGC